CACCAUGUUUAUUGUUUUUUCUUUUCACUUUAAUAAAUACUCAAUUUAAUAGAGAUUAGGCGAAUUACCAGUUAAUUAGAUAAGAAUCUUAAAAUCAAACAAGACUAUUCUUUAAAUUAACAACUUAUUAAUACUUGCUAAUAAUUUGGGAAAAAUCAUAAUUCUAACUAACAUCUAAAGAAAAUCAGAUUCUGAUCUAUUCAUCAUCAUAUAGCAUAUUAGUAUCUAUUAAAUGGUUCGGGAAAAGUCAAAUCCUGUGCGAUCAUAUUUUAAAUUAGAUAUUGUAAAAAAUCAAUCUACUUGUAAACUAGAAAACUGUGGUAAAGUUUUAACCGGGGACCAUGCAGCAAAUCUUGAACGACAUAUAGAAAGAUUCCACGAUAAGGAAUUCAAAUUAUUUAAAAAAAAGAAGAUAAUUUGACUAUUAAAAAAACAAUAACAAAAAAUGCAAAUAAUCAUAAUACAAUUCAAAAUGCUUUUACCAAAACUAAUACAAUAUAAAUUAAUAUUAAUAAAGACACUUUAAUCCGCUCCUCCACUGAGUUAAUCACAGUUCAUGGGAGACCAAUAAAAUCAAUUGAUGACAAAGCAUUUAGAAAUAUUAUAGAUCCGAUAAUUGUAGGAUUGGGUGGUAAUUUAACCAUCAAUUCUGAAAAUAUACGCAAUAAUAUUAAAAAAAUGGCAUUUGAUUUUUCGCAAAAUUUAAAAAAAGAAAUAUACCAAAAACUUAUAUCGUUAAAAUUAGAUAUUGCAACUCGAUAUGAUAGGUCCAUACUGGGGAUCAAUAUUCAAUUUAUAGAUAAUGGAGAAAUAAAAUUAAGAACGUUAUGCAUAAAAGAGAUAAAAGAAAGACAUACAUCAGAAUAUCUAAAAAAAAUUAUUCUAGAUGUUCUAAACGAACAUGAAAUAAGAAUUGAUCAAAUUUAUACGAUAACCACAGACAA